rnacentral:rRNA from 1 species
AUUGAACGCUGGCGGCAGGCCUAACACAUGCAAGUCGAACGAGUGGCGGACGGGUGAGUAAUGUCUGGGAAACUGCCUGAUGGAGGGGGAUAACUACUGGAAACGGUAGCUAAUACCGCAUAACAUCAGCUGUGCCCAGAUGGGAUUAGCUUGUUGGUGGGGUAACGGCUACCAAAGGCGACGAUCCCUAGCUGGUCUGAGAGGAUGACCCGCCACGCGUGAACUGAGACACGGUCCAGACUCCGACGGGAGGCAGCAGUGGGGAAUAUUGCCCAAAGUGCGCAAGCCUGAUGCAGCCAUGCCGCGUGUAUUAAGAAGGCCUUCGGGUUGUAAAGUACUUGCAGCGGGGAGGCGUUACCCGCAGAAGAAGCACCGGCUAACUCCGUGCCAGCGGCCGCGGUAAUUC